rnacentral:lncRNA from 1 species
GGAAGCCAGGAAAUGCUUAGCUGGGAGCUCAAGGUGAAAAGGAUUUGGUGAACAACCAGCUAGUCUCUGCCACUGCAUCUUAUUUUGAGACACCUCUUAGAUAUCCAGGAAAAGAGAGAACCUGCCGUGUGGGGUUGGAUUGGAGCUGAAGGCAUCAGGAUUGGAGGGAUUCAUCAAUGCGGCCCAGUGUUUCGUUGGUUCGAAUCCUGGGCGCGGACAUGGCCCUGCUCAUCAGACCACGCUGAGGCAGCAUCCCACAUGCCACGGCUGGAAGAACCCACAGCGAAGAGUGCACAGCUAUGUGCUGGGGGGCUUUGG